GACGAACGCUGGCGGCGUGCUUAACACAUGCAAGUCGAACGGAAAGGCCCUGCUUUUGUGGGGUGCUCGAGUGGCGAACGGGUGAGUAACACGUGAGUAACCUGCCCUUGACUUUGGGAUAACUUCAGGAAACUGGGGCUAAUACCGGAUAGGAGCUCCUGCUGCAUGGUGGGGGUUGGAAAGUUUCGGCGGUUGGGGAUGUACUCGCGGCUGAUCAGCUUGUUGGUGGGGUAGUGGCUUACCAAGGCUUUGACGGGUAGCCGGCCUGGGAGGGUGACCGGCCACAUUGGGAUUGGGGUACGGCCCAGACGCCUACGGGAGGCAGCAGUGGGGAAUAUUGCACAAGGGGCGGAAGCCUGAUGCAGCAACGCCGCGUGCGGGAUGACGGCCGUCGGGUUGGAAACCGCUUUCGCCUGUGACGAAGCGCGAGUGACGGUAAUGGGGAAAGAAGCACCGGCUAACUACGU
rnacentral:rRNA from 1 species